GACGAACGCUGGCGGCGUGCCUAACACAUGCAAGUCGAACGGAAAGGCCCUGCUUUUGUGGGGUGCUCGAGUGGCGAACGGGUGAGUAACACGUGAGUAACCUGCCCUUGACUUUGGGAUAACUUCAGGAAACUGGGGCUAAUACCGGAUAGGAGCUCCUGCUGCAUGGUGGGGGUUGGAAAGUUUCGGCGGUUGGGGAUGGACUCGCGGCUUAUCAGCUUGUUGGUGGGGUAGUGGCUUACCAAGGCUUUGACGGGUAGCCGGCCUGAGAGGGUGACCGGCCCCAUUGGGACUGAGAUACGGCCCAGACUCCUACGGGAGGCAGCGGUGGGGAAUAUUGCACAAUGGGCGGAAGCCUGGUGCAGCAACGCCGCGUGCGGGAUGACGGCCUUCGGGUUGUAAACCGCUUUCGCCUGUGACGAAGCGUGAGUGACGGUAAUGGGUAAAGAAGCACCGGCUAACUACGUG
rnacentral:rRNA from 1 species